rnacentral:rRNA from 1 species
CACGGUCCAGACUCCUACGGGAGGCAGCAGUGAGGAAUUUUGCGCAAUGGGGGCAACCCUGACGCAGCAACGCCGCGUGAGUGAUGAAGGCCCUUGGGUCGUAAAACUCUGUCAGCAGGAAAGAAAUUAUAUUUGGUUAAUACCCGAGUAUAUUGACGGUACCUGCAAAGGAAGCACCGGCUAACUCCGUGCCAGCAGCCGCGGUAAUACGGGGGGUGCAAGCGUUAUUCGGAAUUAUUGGGCGUAAAGGGCGCGUAGGCGGCUUAUCAGGUCAGAUGUGAAAGCCCGGGGCUUAACCCCGGAAGUGCAUUUGAAACCGGUAGGCUUGAGUAUGGGAGAGGAAAGUGGAAUUCCUGGUGUAGAGGUGAAAUUCGUAGAUAUCAGGAGGAACAUCAGUGGCGAAGGCGACUUUCUGGACCAAUACUGACGCUGAGGCGCGAAGGCGAGGGUAGCAAACAGGAUUAGAUACCCUGGUAGUCCACGCAGUAAACGUUGUUCACUAGGUGUAGCGGGUAUUGACCCCUGCUGUGCCGCAGCUAACGCAUUAAGUGAACCGCCUGGGAAGUACGAUCGCAAGAUUAAAACUCAAAGGAAUUGACGGGGGCCCGCACAAGCGGUGGAGCAUGUGGUUUAAUUCGACGCAACGCGAAGAACCUUACCUGGAUUUGACAUCUCGGAAAUUUCUAUGAAAGUAGGAAGUGCCCUUCGGGGAAUCCGAUGACAGGUGCUGCAUGGCUGUCGUCAGCUCGUGUCGUGAGAUGUUGGGUUAAGUCCCGCAACGAGCGCAACCCUUAUCUUCAGUUACCAUCAUUAAGUU